UUUCUAAACUUCGUCUUUGGAAGCUUUUCACAGCGUAAUUUUACGCUUUGCUCCCAAAAACGUUGUUUACCCUUACAUUGGAAUGUUAUGCAGACUGUACUUGGCAUGUAUGCAUUUCAAUGAGAACUCCAACCGUCCUCAGGCUAAAACAAAAAUGGGAAAGCCAAUGUAUAGGCUUUUGUUUCCCAAAGCCAAAAAGGGGGAAUACUCCACACGUCCAUUAAAGACACAGGCAACAUAUUGCUAUGUCUACAGAUUGAUGGACUUCCUGUUUGAAAAGGUGAUCCU